rnacentral:rRNA from 1 species
AACGAACGCUGGCGGCAGGCUUAACACAUGCAAGUCGAGCGCCCCGCAAGGGGAGCGGCAGACGGGUGAGUAACGCGUGGGAACGUACCCUUUGCUACGGAAUAGCUCCGGGAAACUGGAAUUAAUACCGUAUGUGCCCUACGGGGGAAAGAUUUAUCGGCAAAGGAUCGGCCCGCGUUGGAUUAGCUAGUUGGUGGGUAAUGGCCUACCAAGGCGACGAUCCAUAGCUGGUCUGAGAGGAUGAUCAGCCACAUUGGGACUGAGACACGGCCCAAACUCCUACGGGAGGCAGCAGUGGGGAAUAUUGGACAAUGGGCGCAAGCCUGAUCCAGCCAUGCCGCGUGAGUGAUGAAGGCCUUAGGGUUGUAAAGCUCUUUCACCGGAGAAGAUAAUGACGGUAUCCGGAGAAGAAGCCCCGGCUAACUUCGUGCCAGCCGCCGCCGUAACAC